UUAUUCCCCAUAUUAUGCUUAUCAACCCCCACAACAAAGCAAAUAUAAGGUUUGAUUCAGGUGUGCUUGUUGCAUAUAUUUUGUCUGCAUGAUUAUAUUUCGUCUGCAUGAUGAUGAAACCUUUUUUUCUUUUAAUAUAUUGGAAUUUUAAAUAAGCUGCAGAAUGAGGGGGUAAUUCUGCCCCUUAUCAUAACUUUGCUGCACCACUGAGUAGGAUUUGAACUUGAGACCUUUCGAUGGAGAUUCUAAGCUUUCACUGCUGGGCUUUGAGACUUUGAGUGCUUCUUUGCAACAAAUCUUUAUUGUUGUCUUGGGAUAUUUUUUUGUUAGAAUGAUGCUUUUAUCAGCAUUUAGUUAUACUUGGCCAAACUGCAUUCUAGUAAUACAUAUUACCAUAGUUAUUUAAGGCCCACCUCAUGCUCAAGGCUCACCAGGCUCGAA
rnacentral:misc_RNA from 1 species